CGGCUGCUGGUAUUGAGGGUCGUGUGCGGCUGUGGGUGUACCUGCCGGUGGGAUUCGUAUGUCACCGGCCUCGCUGGGGCCGGGUUCGUGACGUCAGAAAACAUGAAGGUAGCUGAAUCCAGGCCAGAACUAACAUUUGCUCAAGAUUGGGUCUCAAAAAGGUGUCCACUUGGACUUCACUGCCCUCGAGAAGACUCUGCUGGUUCUUCUUAGACCAGGUUAUGUACCCUUUCAUGUACUCCUUACCUUGGUACUUAUCAGAAUCAUAACUGAAGACCAAAACCACCAAGUACUCCUGCUGCUGCCCUGCCGCCUUUACUGAGAGGCACCACUGACAGGUAACUGGCGUUACCACCCGCCAUCAUCCCACACACACUGCCUCACCACCCCAGCCAACAUAAGGGACUUGCAGACCUGCCUCUGUGUAAUCAGAGCAGAUGAAAGAGAUUCGGGGACACAGAUGCUGUGCUUGCACUGCUGAGGGAGGGGAUGUCAAUUUCAAAGCCCUCUUCCCUAGAAAGAUGGACUCUGCCCUUGACACCCCAAGAGCUGACUGGCCACACACGGUGGUUGAAAUUGGGAGCUACGUGUUGCCAUAAUUGGCACUGCAUGGUGCGUGAAGAGCACUUGUAUCAAGGUGUUACAGCAGGAUACCACGACUGGGGUGAGGGGAUCAGCUGCAGACGAUGGCUAAAUCUUGCAAGGGGUCACCAGUGCUUAGGGAAACUGCACUGGAGCAAGUCCCUCCCCGGCAGGGCAUGUUGAAGCCCCCUGGCGCCCUCACCUAUGAAAUAUGGAAAUGGUGAUGCUUGCCCCCCGGGAUUGUCACAAAGACUACAUGAGAUAAUGUGAGAAACCUUCUGCAAAGUGGACCCACAAUUAAUGUUAGCUCCCUUGCUACGCUUUUGCUGCUCAGUGUUUAACGCCUGGAUAAAUACUUCGAGUGUGGAAAGAGACGGGGAGCUUUUCAUAAUGUCAGAUUCAACCUAAAAGGAAAAGUCUGUGUUUGCAGAGUUCUAUCUCCCUGGAUUACCAGGCAGAUUCUGAAAUUUAUUAACCUUUUUAGUCAUUUGUGAACACCAGCAAAAGGACUUCUUUGAAUAAUCAAAAAACCUCCUCAUUCUGGCAGCCAAAUAAAAGGAGGCCAGGUGUUCAGGAUUAAAAAUGCAUUACCCCCACCACUGACUUUCUGGGGAUGGUGUCAAGAAUUUUCUCUUUCAUAACAUGUACCAUUUCUAGAGUAGAGAAAGAGGAGGGAAAAGUGAACAGAGAUGAUAAGGAGACUUUAGGAAACAUGGGGGUGGACAGAAAAAUGAAGGGUGAAAGUGACAGACGGAAGACAGGAGAACCCUAUUUUUAGCCAGUUACGGUCUUCUUCUGUCCCCUUAAAAAUAGACCCUCUUCCUGCCCACAGUGAAUGGAGUGGACAAUAUCUGGGGCUCCAUAACACCAUUUGUGUAUCUGUUUGAAGGCAUUGACAUUGUGACUCUUAGACAAGGUUGGGUAGGCCUUUUAACACUAGAUACACAGCCACCAAAUUUCCUCUAGAACUGUUUCUAAGAAAAAUGCCCACAUUCACACUCUUGUUUUCUAAAAUUAUCCUUAGCACGAGGCUAAGACUAUUUUCUUGAAGUAAAACUAAGACAAUUUCUCGUUGCUAAUGAAACUAACCACACGCACACGUGUCGAGGCACCAUGCUAGGUCUUGACAUUCAUGGUACCCUUUUGGCAGAUGGGGACAUUUAGGCUCAGGAAGCGAGCAGGCUGGAUCCGGGCCACAGAGCUCAUAUGUAGUGGAACUAGUAUUCAAACCCAGGUCUCAUCCAAACCCUGACAUUGUCACCUCUGCCCUGUUAUCGGCUUUGGAAACCUUUAGCGGCUGCCACUCCAGCACCCGGGCUGAGCUCUGACACUGAGAAAUGCAGCCCAUGGGAAAGGCAAGAACCGAGCACAGCACUGGUCGCUACCAGAAGGAGGAUUGUAUUACAAGCCCUUCAGACUUUGUACACAACACGCUCGUGGUGCACCAUGAGGCCGUUUUGAGGCUCAAGGAUUACUUUGGAAAGGCUUCUGUAAUUUCAGAGUUUAAUGAUAUGAAAUUAGACCUAGAAUCCUCAAACAAACCCAUUUCAGAACUACAAUACCCCUGGAAAUGAGCACUUCCAUUAGAUUUGAGACCAUUACGUAUCCAUCUCUGUGUGAGGGAAAUAGAUGUUUUCACGUUAGAACAAAUACAAAACAUCAUUUUCAUCCAGUACAAUUUCCUGAACUCCUUUUAUCCAAUUUCCCAGUUUUUUCCGAUAUUUGAAACUGAAGUAAAGCUUUCCUCUUAGCCCAGUUUCUUGUUCACUUUAACUCCGCAACAAAAUUAUUCUUAGGUUUUAUCACUGGCCUAUUUCUUAGAUAGGACUUGGGUUUCAUUAUUUCAACAUGGGGUCAAAAAUAGAAAAAGAUGUUCCAGAAACAGACUUUUGUUAUUUUCUUUAUAAUCAUUGAAUCUAUAUGCCAUUUUGCCCAACCCUUGUACAUUAUGUGGGAGAUCUUUGAACAAUUACAAAUCUACUACAAACAAUAGUUUCUGGUACUCAGGUAAUGAGAAAUGUCUUAAAGAUGAUAAACACAGGUAUUCACAAUAGAUUGAGAGAUUAAACAACCUAAACAAAGGAAAAAUAUUCCCCAAUCUUAUGUGAACAAAGAUUGCAUACAUCACAAUUAGGAAAAGUUUCAUAUUUUUUAAGCACAAUAAAAUGUUGUUUAGUCUUUGAGCAGUAUUAAAAAAUCCUCAGUUAAACAACUACAUACAUACAUUUACUAUUUAUAAGAUAUUCUCUAAGACACCAUUAUGGUAUUAGGACGAAUAAUAAAUACACGGGUCACUAACUUCAAGAAUCUUUUACUGUUAUAGGGGAGGUAAGAAAUGUAUUUAUAAGCUAUAAUAUAAAGAUGAAUAUGAUGAGUGCCAUAAAGUACAAAGAAUUAUGGGGGUUCAGAAGAAGGAAGGAUUAUCUCUAUGUGAGAUCAGAAGAUGGUAGGCCGCCCAUUCCAGGAUAAUGAAAUGCAUGAGAAAAGAUAAUACCGUUUGAGGAAACAGUCCCCUUUGAAAUUCAAAAUGUCAGUGGGAAAUACAGCAGGAGCAUUAGCCUGAGAUUGGACCACAGAAAGCAAAUGCCAGAUCCAAGGGUUUGGAGGUUAGUCAGUUGGAGAAAUAUACACUCACUAGGUACAACUAGUAUUUCAAACAUUACCUAUUUUUACCUAUUUAAAAUAUCUCUUUUUUUUAACAGCUUUAUUGAAGUAUAAUUGACAUAUAAUUAACUGUGCAUGUUUAAAGCAUAUAAUUUGGUAAAUUUUGACAUAUGUAUACACCCAUGAAACCAUCACCACAAUCAACAUAAUGAACAUAUCAAUCACCCCCAAAAGUUUCCUUGUGCCCCUUUGUAAUCUCUUCCUCCUGCCCCAUCGCUAGGCAAUUGUUGAUCUGCUUUCUGCCACUGUAGGUUAAUUGGCACUUUCAAGAACUUUGUAUAAAUGGAAUUAUACACUAUUGACUCUUUAGUCUGACUUCUUUCACUCAACACAAUUUUUUGAGAUU